GUACAAUAUUGCUCCUCCUCCUCCAAUGGAAAUCAUUAUUACUUCAGAAAUUCUAAAGAUAAUAUGAUGACAUUGCUCCAGCUUCUAAGGAACCCACCACGGAGGUUGAAAAGAGCCCUGUUGCUGAGAAGCAAGGAGGUGAGGAUGAAAUGUUGAUGCAACCAAAGAACCCGAAGAGCAAGCACAAGGUAAAGUCAUCAAUUACAGCUAUUGACGCAUCAUUUGGAGAUCUCCAAUGGAUUGGAAACGUUCCUUCUCUUUACAAAUUCUUCAAAGCAUUAUCAAGUACUUAUUUGAUUUUCUAAGUUGUGUUUCUUUAACCCUCCAUUUUUCUAUAACUUCUGACCUCUAUCACACUUAUGAAAAUUAUACCUAAUCCUCAUGAAGUUUUUAUCUCUUAUGAAUUAUGAGAUUUAGGUGAGCCACAUCAGAGGUUAAAGAGAGUGGAUGUGAUUAAGUCAAAUGCAACAUUUGAACAAGUGGAUGAACUACUUCAGAAGGACAAAAUACUAAUACAAGAACAAAGUUUCAAGUUAUUUAUGUCGGCGCAUAACAAGGAAAUACCUAGAAGUAGGAGGCUUCACGAAGGCUUAGAAGAUGCUAGAAGCAUCUCUAGAAGAUAAGAGAGCUUCAUUUUUACAUUCCCAUGUAAACAUGAAGAAAAAGGAUAAUUUUCUAAUCCAUAAAGAAAAAGGAAAUUGUCCAAUUCCUAUUAGAAUUAGAAUGUGUAGUUUGGUAAUUGAAUAGCCGAUACCUAGUUCUAUAAAUAGGGGUGCUAAGGCUAGGUUGAGCUUUAGCACAAACAAGAGAGAGUUUACCUAACUACUAAGUUUUAGUCUUUAAAAAAAGAAAAAAGGUAAGAAUUUAGAGAGAGCUUAAGGUUUCUUUAAGAGAGUA